AGUGAACGCUGGCGGUAGGUCUAACACAUGCAAGUCGAACGGCAGCACAGUAAGAGCUUGCUCUUACGGGUGGCGAGUGGCGGACGGGUGAGGAAUACAUCGGAAUCUACUUUUUCGUGGGGGAUAACGUAGGGAAACUUACGCUAAUACCGCAUACGACCUACGGGUGAAAGCAGGGGAUCUUCGGACCUUGCGCGAUUGAAUGAGCCGAUGUCGGAUUAGCUAGUUGGCGGGGUAAAGGCCCACCAAGGCGACGAUCCGUAGCUGGUCUGAGAGGAUGAUCAGCCACACUGGAACUGAGACACGGUCCAGACUCCUACGGGAGGCAGCAGUGGGGAAUACUGGACAAUGGGCGCAAGCCUGAUCCAGCCAUACCGCGUGGGUGAAGAAGGCCUUCGGGUUGUAAAGCCCUUUUGUUGGGAAAGAAAAGCAGCAGGUUAAUACCCCGCUGUUCUGACGGUACCCAAAGAAUAAGCACCGGCUAACUUCGUG
rnacentral:rRNA from 1 species